GACAGAGGGUGCAAGCGUUGUUCGGAAUUAUUGGGCGUAAAGGGCGCGUAGGUGGCCAUGUAAGUCCGAUGUGAAAUCCCAGGGCUCAACCCUGGAAGUGCAUCGGAUACUGCGUGGCUUGAGUUCCGGAGAGGAUGGUGGAAUUCCCAGUGUAGAGGUGAAAUUCGUAGAUAUUGGGAGGAACACCGGUGGCGAAGGCGACCAUCUGGACGAGAACUGACACUGAGGCGCGAAAGCGUGGGGAGCAAACAGG
rnacentral:rRNA from 1 species